GACGAACGCUGGCGGCGUGCUUAACUACAUGCAAGUCGAAACGGAAACGGACCCGUCGUCUUUUGGUUGGGGUGGCUCGAGUGGCGAACGGUGGAGUAACACGUGAGUAACGUCGUCCUCGUACGUUUGGGGGUAGUAACUUCAAGGAAACGUAGGGUACGUAACGUACCGGUAGUAGGAGCCUUCCUGCUGCAUGGGUGGGGUUGGAAAGUUUAGGCGGUUGGGGAUGGACUCGCGGCUUAUCAGCUUGUUGGUGGGGUAGUGGCUACCAAGGCUUUGACGGGUAGCCGGCCUGAGAGGGUGACCGGCCACAUUGGGACUGAGAUACGGCCCAGACUCCUACGGGAGGCAGCAGUGGGGAAUAUUGCACAAUGGGCGGAAGCCUGAUGCAGCAACGCCGCGUGCGGGAUGACGGCCUUCGGGUUGUAAACCGCUUUCGCCUGUGACGAAGCGUGAGUGACGGUAAUGGGUAAAGAAGCACCGGCUAACUACGUG
rnacentral:rRNA from 1 species